CUCCACCUGACGCUGGCCCUGCUGACGCUGCUGAGCGGGCCGGAGCGGCGCCGCCUCUGUCAGACGCUCCAGCAGCACGCCGAUCAGCUGCGGAGUCUACUGGCGCCAUCCGGGCUCUCGCUGCGCGUGCGGGGGCUGGACAUCAUGAAUGACGACCCGGGGGAGACUCGCGUGGUGUUCGCGCGCGUCCAGGACGCGGACGGGGGCGACGGGAUGCAGCGACUGGCCGACCGCUGCAGGGAGUUGGCCGUAAGCACAGGCCUAGGUAAAAACGAGGAUUACGACAGGGUGAAGCUGCACUGCACCCUGA